rnacentral:lncRNA from 1 species
UUUUCUUGGUAUGAAGAUCAAUUAAUGACAGGAAAAAAUGACACGGUGCAAACCUAUAUAUAGAGGUACCUCAUUUAGUAUCACAAACAGGGAAGGCCCUGCUAAUUACAAUGUACAUACAUGGCCCCAAAUUUCAGAUGUGACAUGAAGAAACUGCACGCACCCAAGACUGAAAACUACAGAAAAAACUUCGAAGAAGUCAUGAAGAGACAUUUUCCAAGUAUGGAGUUUUCUUAGAGCAGAAACAAAUGGAAGAAACAUAGCAAGAGAGAGGCUCCAAUGAACAUCAUUCUGUUUUCUACAGAAUGCAUUAUAUAGUAUAUCACAGAUUCAAGAAAUAACUAUAGAAGAUGGAGCUGAGCUGCUUCGUGAUGCUUUUCGUCCAUUUGCUGCUGGAGCCCGAGAGUGAGAAGGGAGGAUAGCACAUCCAAGAGCUGGAGCACGAAAAACUGAUCACCAACAGAUAAUAAAAUUCAGACACUAAAAAAGGUGUAUGUAUUUUGUGAGGAAUGGUAUUAGAGGUAGGCAAAUACUGAACGACAACUAUUCUAUAACUUCAGCAAUAAGGUUUUUCUUUAUUCAGAGAUGUACAUGUGAACUUGUACAAUCAACGGCAAAAUACAUGUCGUAGUAGGUACAACUACUGCUGUAAUAAUCUCUCAUACUACGUGCUCGUGCUAUGAAAUAUAUAUUUCUCAGAAACUACUACUGGAAUUAAGCAAAUCACAUCCAAUUUCAGCCUAAGAUUUGCAAGGAGGAUUAGAACGUAUACCUAGAGCUUGGCACGAGCAGAGCCGGACUGUGAGGGCGCAAUAUUGAAAUUGCCGACGCGGC